GAUGAACGCUGGCGGCGUGCCUAAUACAUGCAAGUCGAGCGGUAAGGCCCUUCGGGGUACACGAGCGGCGGACGGCUGAGUAACGCGUAGGAACGUACCCCGAAGUGAGGGAUAACUGCCCGAAAGGGUAGCUAAUACCGCAUAUUGUCCACGGACAAAAGCAGUAAUGCGCUUUGGGAACGGCCUGCGUCUGAUUAGCUAGUUGGUGAGGUAAUAGCUCACCAAGGCGACGAUCAGUAGCUGGUCUGAGAGGAUGAUCAGCCAGACUGGAACUGAG
rnacentral:rRNA from 1 species